GAUAAUAAUUUAUAAUCCUUUUGUUUUUUUUAUGCAAUGUCUUGUUUUUCUAAUGCAUAAAAAGCAGUUAACUGAUUCCUAAGUGGUUCUUGUAAUACAGGUAUUACAUUUUCCCUCUCACAUAAAAAAAUGUUUAAUAUUCUUUUAAUUGACGAUAUUCAUUAUAACAAUAUGAAGAGCAAUAAUCGGCAGAAAUGAUGUUUUUUUCAGUUAUUAGUCAAAUAAAUUGCUAUCAUAAGCGCUUCAACCUUUCUGGGAAUGCUGUGUUAAAUACAUGCAACAUCUUUUGUGUCAAAUUCUUCCAAAUGAAUCAGUCAUUUCCAAUACUCACUUGGAGUUAAUAAUAAUUUAUUAGCCUAUCUAUUAAGAAUUAAUUAACAAUGCUUUGUUUUUAAACAUAACGUUAAAACUAUAAAUAUAAAUCAUUAAAACUGUGCGUUAAAUGUGAAAUUAAAACUGCCACUAGGUGUCAGCAAUUCAUUUUUAUUAAGCGAGUCACUGAGAUUAAACAGAUUCAUUCAAACAGCUUAUUUAUUCAUGAACGAAGCAGCGAGUCGAGUCAUUGAUUCAUUCGUCAACCGAUUCGUCUAAAAGUCUGAAUGAUUCAUCCAAUAAGACACCACGUGGAGUCCAAGUUAAACCAUGCUGUCACUUGUUUGGAAUUAUUUUUGUUUACGAAAUAUAAGCAAAAACGGAUAACCAUGUGUCUAAAAUGGAUUCUGCGGCCUCGAUAAGUUCCAGGGAUUCUGCAUCCUCAGCUGUUUCCAGGGAUUCUGCGGCCUCAGUUGUUUCCAGGGAUUCUGCGGCCUCAGUUGUAUCCACGGCCUCAAGUUUCAGCACACGAUUGUGAAUGUGCUGGACUUUCAGUGUAAUUGGCAGCUGCUGUACCAAGUCAUUUAUACUGCCAUGGUAAAAAUGGCUUGGUACAGCAUAGUCUUCAAGUUUACUGUCCAACAGGAUGAGCAUAUUGUUAUCAUCCUCAGACACUCCGAUAAUUGUCAGCACCGCUUCGAGGAUCUGGCGCUCAACGAUCUGGUGAAAAAAAGAAAAGAAAAAAAAAAACAUCCACACUUAGGGUUAAGUCGUAUAGUUUGAGGAGUCAAAUUUGCCUCCUCCAUUGGGCUGAAUUUUUGCCCUUAGGUGGCUGAUCUCCACCUUAUCCCCGACGUACAGGUCCAUCAACGCCUCUUCUCUCCACAAAGUUACCUCCAGGAGUUUUGUUCCAGACCUCAAAGAAAGGUCCAGGAGGGGAUACUGGGCCCGAGUCAUCCUGGCCACUUGCAACUGGAAAACAACAGCCCAGUGUCACAGAUGAGUGUAUCUCAGCCCUGGUUCAGACUCAGGUACCCAGGUCUUGUGAAGAUCUCCUGUUCUUCCCCGGUUACAAAUGGGGAAGGAGGAUAGAGGACCUCUUUAGCAGCUCUCUCUGCAUCCUCGGUUAUGGCCAAUGGAGAGGUUUUAAAUUUCCUGCUGGUCCGGUUUAAAAAAAUACACUGCCGGCCAUAUUGUUUUGAGAGGGUAUAAUUUUUUAUGAUAUAUGACCCACCCUCUUCAAACUCUGGGUCACUUCCAUUUUUUAUUGAGGUGUACCAUGUUUGUCCAUCAGUGAGGGCUGACAGUGUGGUCACCUUGUAUGCGCCAACAUCAAUUAUAUUGUCUUUUGUGACAAAAUUUAAAGCCUUUUGGCUCCUGCGGCUACCCACACACUUCACUUUCAGCGGUGCUUGCUGACUGUAGGGGGUUGCCAUCCUAAGAAUAAUACAAAAAAGCAGGGGAACAAUAGCGCCUUCUCUGGUAAGCGGUGGAGAACUGCUGCGGACUGAAGAAGACUGGCUGUGCACGUCUUUUAAGCGGGAAUCCUGCUGCUCGCACCCUUUGUGUGUGUCUCCGGGUGCGCGCGCGUGUUCGUGUUAAUUUCUUUAAAUGAUAAGGAAUUUUAUUUAUAUUAUUUGUUAUUAUAUUCUUUGUGAUUUUAUGAUAUUAUAAGCAACUCCUGCGUUGUCUGUGUGUGCGCGUUUUGAUAAAUAUUUUUUACUUGUAAUUAUUUUUAUUUAUUGUAAUAAAUAUUUUAACUUUGAAUUAAUUGUAUGUAUUGUACUUCAUAUUUUAAACUUUAAUUUUAUUUCAAAUUAAAAAGGCUUUGCACAGUUUUUAACAGACUCUGGCGGAUCUCCUGCUCUUUGUGUGUGAGCUCGCUUUGAUGAAUAUUUUUAACUUGUAAUUAAUUUAAAAUAAAUCCCUAUUAAAUCUGUUUUGCCUGCAAAUGUUAUUAAAUUAACAAUAAAUUACCCUAUUUCAUAUUUCCCCCCUUUUUUGCUGAUUUCUAUCUUGUCUAGUUGAUGCCUAAUGUAUUAAUGAAACAUUUCCGUUUUUUAUUAACUGACUGGGUGCGCGCAUCUCCUGCGCGUGUGUGCGCGGGCGCGUUUUGAUUACAUUUUUUACUUAUUUUUAUUUAUUGUAUU